rnacentral:rRNA from 1 species
UACGUAGGGUGCGAGCGUUGUCCGGAAUUAUUGGGCGUAAAGAGCUUGUAGGCGGUUUGUCGCGUCUGCUGUGAAAAUCCGGGGCUCAACCCCGGACUUGCAGUGGGUACGGGCAGACUAGAGUGUGGUAGGGGAGACUGGAAUUCCUGGUGUAGCGGUGAAAUGCGCAGAUAUCAGGAGGAACACCGGUGGCGAAGGCGGCGCUGACGGCAUACU